UACAGAGGUCCCGAGCGUUGUUCGGAUUCACUGGGCGUAAAGGGUGCGUAGGUGGCGACGAAAGUUCGAUGUGAAAUCUCCGGGCUUAACCCGGAAAAGGCAUUGAAAACUAUGUUGCUUGAGGUUUGGAGGGGGGACUGGAAUUCUUGGUGUAGCAGUGAAAUGCGUAGAUAUCAAGAGGAACACCAGUGGCGAAGGCGGGUCCCUGGACAACACCUGACACUGAGGCACGAAAGCUAGGGGAGCAAACAGG
rnacentral:rRNA from 1 species